rnacentral:rRNA from 1 species
GAUGAACGCUGGCGGCGUGCCUAAUACAUGCAAGUCGAGCGAACAGACGAGGAGCUUGCUCCUCUGACGUUAGCGGCGGACGGGUGAGUAACACGUGGAUAACCUACAUAUAAGACUGGGAUAACUUCGGGAAACCGGAGCUAAUACCGGAUAAUAUAUUGAACCGCAUGGUUCAAUAGUGAAAGACGGUUUUGCUGUCACUUAUAGAUGGAUCCGCGCCGCAUUAGCUAGUUGGUAAGGUAACGGCUUACCAAGGCGACGAUGCGUAGCCGACCUGAGAGGGUGAUCGGCCACACUGGAACUGAGACACGGUCCAGACUCCUACGGGAGGCAGCAGUAGGGAAUCUUCCGCAAAGGGCGAAAGCCUGACGGAGCAACGCCGCGUGAGUGAUGAAGGUCUUCGGAUCGUAAAACUCUGUUAUUAGGGAAGAACAAAUGUGUAAGUAACUAUGCACGUCUUGACGGUACCUAAUCAGAAAGCCACGGCUAACUACGUG